GGGGAAUUUUCCGCAAUGGGCGAAAGCCUGACGGAGCAAGACCGCGUGAGGGAGGAAGGCUCUUGGGUUGUAAACCUCUUUUCUCAGGGAAGAAGCACUGACGGUACCUGAGGAAUCAGCAUCGGCUAACUCCGUGCCAGCAGCCGCGGUAAUACGGAGGAGGCAAGCGUUAUCCGGAAUUAUUGGGCGUAAAGCGUCCGUAGGUGGUUAAUCAAGUCUUUUGUUAAAGGUUGGAGCUUAACUCUGAUUAGGCGGAAGAAACUGAUUGACUUGAGGAUGGUAGGGGUAGAGGGAAUUCCAGGUGUAGCGGUGAAAUGCGUAGAUAUCUGGAAGAACACCAGUGGCGAAGGCGCUCUACUGGGCCAUUACUGACACUGAGGGACGAAAGCUAGGGGAGCGAAAGGGAUUAGAUACCCCUGUAGUC
rnacentral:rRNA from 1 species